GAAGUGGAAGUAAAGUGAAUGCUGCUAACUUAUCACUAUAGCGGUUAAAAUCCGUUUACACUUCU
rnacentral:tRNA from 1 species